CUUGAAGUCUGACAGCAAAAUGUACACACAACGAAUGUUUAACUACACUACAGACUCCACUGUUGUGAUAGUAAUUAUGCAAGUUGAUUUCUGAAACCAAGGUUAUAUAUGAAAAAAGAAGAAAAUACUCAAGUUUUCAUUUUUACUGACAGUUAAUCCUACAGUGUUUUCAAGCUUCAUCUGUUUUCAUUGUUUUCAUAUUAUGAGUCCAAUCUUCUAUUUCUAUACCCAAAUACAUGACAAAAAUCUAAGCCGAGAAAAGCAAGUGAAAAUGCAAUUUCUGAGAGGUAUGGUGAUGUAUUUUGUCUCAUGUAGUUCUCUGGGAGAACUUGGCAUCUGUUAUUAUCUUUGCAUCUUGACAUUCUAAUAUUUUAAACAAAUGAACAUUCACAUAUAUGUUGAGGCUGCACCUUGAAUCCUGUGUUCAGUUUUGGGCCCCUCACUGCAGGAAAGACAUUGAGGUACUGGAAGGAGUGCAGAGAAAGGUCACAAAGCGGGUGGAGAGUCUGAGCACAAGUCUGAUGAGGAGCGGCUGAGGGAACUGGGGCUGUUUAGCCUGGAGAAAUGGAGGCUGAGGUGAGACCUGAUCACUGUCUACAACUACCUGAAAGGAGGUUGUAGUGAAAUGGGUGUUGGUCUCUUUUCCCAAGUAACAAGGGACAGGACAAGAGGAAAUUGCUGCAGGGGAGGUUUAGAUUGAAUAUUAGGAAAAAUUUAUCCAUGGAAAUGAUUGUCAGGCAUUGAAACAGGCUGCCCAGGGAAGCAGCUGAAUCACCAUCUCUGGAGACGUUUAAAAGACGUGUGGAUGAUGGUUUAGUGAUGAACUUAGUGCUAAGUUAAUGGUUGGACUCAAUGAUCUUAAAGGUCUUUCCAACUUAUAAGAUUUAAAAAAAAAAAAAAAAAAAGCCUGUGGUAUUAGUGACUUGAGGAUCGUCUGGAACUGUCCUUAUUCCAAAAUACUGGUGAAGUUAGUUUGAUAGAUUCUUCCCCACUUAGAAUUUACAUGUACUGCUUUAGUUCUGUGUGUAUUGGCAAAACAGAAUGUUAAUAGUGACAGUUUAUUUUUUGUAUCCAUUUUCAGAUUUUUAAGGCGACUUUCUUUUCCCUGUACAGUGAGUGAUAGAAACCAUAACUAAAGGGACCUCUAACAGCAAGGAGAAUGGUCUGGCAGAAGAUCAGCUAGAACUUCUUCUGGAAACCUGACCACACCAUUGCAGGAAAACCCUUUCUCUUUAGGGCUAGCUCUUUACAUCUAGCCUGAAUUUGGUACUUCAGGUUCUUUUUUGUUUGAGUGGAAGGUGAACAGAAGUCAAGUACCUCUCAGUUGAUAAUGGCAGUCAUGGGAAAUGGGCAUGAAAUGCAAUAAAAACUUGUCUCAAGCUAUAGAAGUCAUUGGUAUGUAGCUGACAGGUAGAUAUAGGCAGGGUAUCUAUAUUACCCAUUUUUUCAGGCAAAAGUAGCUAACUAUUGCUAAUUAAAACAAACUUUUCAUCACUGAUUCAGGUUAUAAGGGACAGAAAAUAAACAAUCAAACACCUCAGCAAAGAACAUUCCCAUCUCCCCAGCUCAAUUUCACUCCAACACCUCUCCCCCCACAUCAUGGUCUUACCUCCCCUUUUGGUUGGUGUUACACUCAUUGCCUCCCAGUCCCUUUGGUGAGGCAGCACAGGAGGCUGGGAACGCUAACUAAUACUUUCUCUCUGUUGCUCCGCUGCUCUUCUUACCAGUUUUCCUCUACCUUCAUGUGUUUUUCCCAUGUCUACAGUCCCUUGGUCUUUUUGUCCCUGUCCCAGUGUGGUUUGCCCACGGCUAUGAUCCCUCAAAAGUGGGAAAAACAUUCUUAUUUGAUAUCUAAUAUCUGACAGCAUUGUUUGCCAUCCUGCACUUUGUCAUGAUUGAUAAGUUUACAUUAAAAAACAAACCCCCCAAAUCUCCCAAAAGCGCCCCCGCCCCACAAAUAAAAAACAACUAAAACAAAACCCCCCAAAAUCCCAAAAGAAACCAACCCAGAGUCCCCCAGUGCUGCUGAGACAAUGAUAUAAGCUGAUUUUGCUGCAGCAUCUGAUUUUUGGUACCCAGUACUUUCGCAAAAAAUUCUUCUGCUGGAUGCUUACUUUUCUGUCUAGCUACACUAAGGACAUAGAUGCAAUAUUUCCCAAAGAGGGAACAUUUGCACGGAAAGUGUGAAGAUGAAUUCCUGAUUCUUCCAUUCUGUCUCCAGCAGAAGAUCAGUUGUUGAAAAUCUGGUUAUUCAGGUACAGCCAGCAAAGAAUGAAAUUAUUACCUGUUGCUGGGAGACUGGGUAGAAACAACACAUGGUGAAAUCAACACCCUUUUCCAGCAGGGCCAAUGGUAAACAUGAUACUUUACAGAAGCCUUAGCAUUUCUAUAUAGUUUUUAAUUAUAAACCUUUAAUAAAAUGAAUGAAAGAAAAAAAAAAAGGACUAAAAAUGAGAGAAGGAUGAAAAAAACCAUCAAGUAUUUUUAGUUCUUUGUACCGGCUGAAAGACAAAAGCUCCAAGCCAGCAGGAGAAUAUGUUUCCUUUGAGAGAGACAGCUGAACAUGGUUAUCCAAGCAUAAAAUACUACUGAAGAAAAAUGAAGAUGGAUUUUCUUAGUCUUGUUUGUUAAGAUUGGCAUAUGUCUCCUGGCCUUAGUUAUUACAGUGAAAUAAAAAAACACCCUUGGUGCAAGAAAUGGAAUUAAAUAUGAAGAGUUUUAUUAUUCAAAUAAUGAAAUACUGCCCCACCGAUGAAUGUGAAAACAUAGAUAUGUUGGGGACUGUGUCUUGGCUCAUUCAGAUCAGAGCUUUGGCCACAGGGGUGUGACAGGGGCUUCAGGUUGUACAUCCCUUGGGUCACAGAAGCAACAAUAUUUGAGAGAAAUCAUGACUUUGAAAUAAAUAGAUAAAUUUGAACUCUCCAGUUUGCAAAGAAUGCUCAGGAAUUAAGAAAUGGGCAUUUCAGAAGUGCAAAUAAAGCCACUUGAAGAGUAACUCCACACUGAACAGGAGAGCUGAGAAAUCAGAGUCAGUGGAAACGGAUUGACACAGUGACUUGUCUGACACAUUCAGUCAUGGAGAAGAACACACAGAAGCUUCAACAUGGGUUCUACAAGUACUGAAAUCCUUACAAGGGAAAAGCAGAAAAGCAGAUGUUUGUGUUGCUAAUCUGAGAGAAGUGUGGAAGCAUAAGCAGAUGCCAUUAUUUGUGUCCACAUUAACUGUAGAAAGAUGUUGAAUCAUCAGGACUCCUUUCAACAUACCUUUCCUUGAACACACACUGCUUAUUGCUUGGAGAGGUGGUAUGAUGCCACUAUCUGUAUUAUUUUCAGCUGUUACCAGCAAGGAUGUGGUAAGAGACCUUCCUCUGAUUGAGGAGAAUCAGGAAAGUGUCUUCCAAGGUAAAAUCGUGGUAACACUGUCUGAAAAUAUUGUGGGAGACGAUAUGACUUUCAUCACAGACAUUGGUUUCUAUUAAUGUAGAAUUAUCAACCUCAAAUCAUCAAUAUUUGAGGAUGUGUUCAUUGUUUCCACUCAUGAUUAAUCCCAUUUGAUGUAGAAAGUCAGAAAGCAGAUGGACAUGAUUUUGUAGGAGCAGUCCCUUUUAGUGGAUACAGAAGUAAUAAUAGGUAAUGAAAAUGAUUAAAGGUGUAAAGAUGUAAUGGUAAAGUAAGAAGAUCUAAUGACUAUCAAUUAAUAACUUCUGUCAUGAUAACUGAAGAGUUCAUUGAACAGAUCCUCAGGUAACAACCUCAGCAUUCCUGUACCAGAUGAAUAUAGUAUUCAGUUCUUUAAGCAUUUAGUUCUAUUUUUAGCAUUCAUCUCAUUAGAAUGGAGUUUUCUGGCACCUACUUUUGCUUUUGAUGAAUUUUAAUUAAAAGUUUCUCAGGAUGUUGAGAAUGUUUAGGAUAUGUGUGUUCAUCAUUGGAAACAUUCUGAAAAUUCGGUAUUACAAAUCGGAAUAUAGUUUUGAAAAAAAGAAAAGUUCUUGCUGCUCAAAGGAUUACAUGGAGGGAAUUUAGAAUUAUACUGUUCUUGACAUUUGUCUUAAAAUUGACCAUGUCUGCCAAAGAGCUUUAUUUCUGCUUCUAACUCAGGCAAAUUGUGCUGAAUUGAGACAGGAGUUUUGUCACGUUUUCACUGCUAAAUUUCCAGAACUUCUUUUUACCAGAUUUUGAAGAGACUAAUUUUCAGCGAGUGCUGAUGCUACAUCUAUUUCUGGUGUUGUUGGAAGGGGCCUGUGCAUCUGUAGGGGAAAGGUUACGUGUUUUAGACCUAUCAAAAGGAGUCAUCUAGGGAGACAUCCUAAAUAGCUAUUUUUUUUUCUUGAAGUCGAAAUAAAUAUUUACUUUUAAAUGCCAUUUCUAUAUACAUAAAGAGAACAUACUUAAUUCUUUUCAGCAUAUUUUAUAAUGUUUUUGUGUACAGCAGAGAGAAAUAUUAUGUGGACUCAGGUAUCUUAAAGGGCUUCCCAGUCAGCAACUCCAGCAUCAGUAUAAGUAGAAAUUAUUCUCCUUAAGAAUAUUUACCCUGUUUAAUUUCUCCUAGCCUGUGAAUCAAAUAAUUAUUUUCCUGAUUAAACACACAGUUCACCCUGUUUCAGUAAGUACAUAUUGGCAAUAUCAGACAGAAGGUUUAUUUAAACACAUUCUGACUGGAAUACCCAAGUUGUGCUGAUGGGGAGCCAAGUUCAAGAAGCUCACUGAAGUGUGUGCGGGGAGGAUGCCAAACCUGGGGAGGGAGAGGAACAUGCAGGAUGAUACUUUAAUCAUUGACUAAGUCUAUCACUCUCUGACUAGUGGCCUUUUUUGAUCCAUGAAUUAUGAAGAACUUGGAUAUUGAGUGGUAAAGUAUGAAUGUUUCUGGUUUUCCAGAAUGAUGUCCAAACUAAUUCAACACUUUAAACAUUAUUUCUGACUUUGUUGCUGCUUCAUUCUUCAUGGUUAACAACAAGAAAAAACAGUCUCAGAACAGGCACACUAACUUACUCGAGGCUCGGGUCCUUAUUUAGCUCAUUUAUGGCUAAAUUCAGACUUAUCAAAUAUUAGUUGAUAUUCAGUUAACUUAUGAGCACAGACCACACAUCAAUGCAUCCAUUUCCCCCCCGUUCUAAGUGAAUUGUCCCUUUUUAAUUCAAUUAGCAUUGCUCCCUGGUUCAGCAGUUCACAAGGUUAAUGUAUUAAUGUUUUUAUGGAAACAUGCCAACUACUCUUAAACUUUGCCUGAAGAACCACUUGAAGUGAAAGCAUUCUUAAGAAAUUUGAAUGCUGGAAGUACAUAUUUAAUAGAUAUAAAUCCAUGCAGUCUUCUACGCUGCUGGGCCUACUUAGCUGAGCAAUAGUUUGUUUUACUAUUCUGUACCACAAGGAAAGAAAUGUUUCUGUUGUGCAACAGUUCUGCUUCUUGGAUCACUUCCACAUGUAAUUUUUAACUCUAUAUCAGCAAUUGCAAAGUCUGAGACAAUUCAGCUUCUGUUUCAUUUUCAGAUGCAGGACAUUUUCUUUACUGUUAUUUCUUUUAUUAUGGCUAGUGAAUUUAACACUGACUUUAAAAGUCUGGUACAGAUAAAUGUCACUCUCCUGUUCAUCCAUUAGAGAAGAGGAAAUUCCUAAUUGUGAGGUUGAGAAAAUGGGAAAAGUAAGCAACAGAUUUUGUUUGUUUGUUUGUUUGUUUGUUUUUGUUUUGUUUUUGUUUGUCUUGUUUUGUUAUGUUUUUUCUUUUCCUUACACCUGCAUUUCCUCUGUUGCUGUUUUCUGUGAUGCAGUUACUGCUGCUGCUGCAGAGGCCAGGUAAGAAGAGGUUAGGAAAGCAAUGUGUUCCUCUCAGAAAAUCAGAAGUUGUCAGAAUAUUCUAGACCAAGUUUACAUAGGUAUUACCGUCUUUUUAAUUUGGAUCUUUUUUGCAUGAAAAAUAACCUUUAUUCUCUCAAAACCAGAAAAGGACAGACUUCUAUUUCUUUUGCUAUUUAUUUCAGUGUUUUCCUUCCUUUGCCCUUUUUUAUUGUGGCUAAUACAGAAGAAUGAAGAUGGAGAGAGCAAAAACCAAAAUCCAAACCAGUUUAAGUGGAUUGUGAGUAGGAAAGCCUGACUUUAAUACUGGAUGAUACAACCAUUGCUGCUAAUGAAAGAGCAACAGAGUACAGAAGCACAGAGGUUUGGUGCUGGGUGUUUACUGUACAUAUUCCCAUGGGACUUUGGUCACUUCUUUAGAGUCCUUACCAUGCUCUACAGUCUCAAAUAGAAGGUUGAAAAACUGAAAUUGUACAAAACUCAAGGACACUGAGAUGGCUUUUUAGCUUGCCAUGGUUCCAUGGCAUAAAUGGUUUUUAACAUAAAAGACCCCAUUUAGGGGGAAUUUUUCAGAAUUAAUUAAUUUUCUUCCCUUAAAUAUAAAAGUUCUGAUGUGAUGUUUCUCUACUAGUUGCUUCAUUUGAUCCUCUUUUCUCCUUCACUAAAAAACCCUCUCCAAACCCCAAAAAUAAACAAACAAAAAAGCUUGAACUUUUGUGUAGAACUUUUUAGGUAGAGAACCAUGUUUGGAGCAGAUACAAGAUACUUGUAGAAAUGUUUUUAGAAAAGUUUUGUUCCAUUCAAAUGUGUUACUUUUGGAAAGGCUAUCAAUGUAAUAAUUCAAAGAAAUAACACAAAAGCCUUCCUUUUUUUUUUUUUUUUUUUAAUAAGUACUUGAGCAAUGAGAUCUAAGGAGGACUGUGAAUGAGUAAAUAUAAUGAAUGAACUUUAUUUGUUUAAAAUUAACACAAACUGACACACUUCAGUCUUGUUUUUUUUUCUUGACUUACCCCAAUAUCUUUCACAAAUUUUUGCCUGGUGUCUGUAUGGACACAAAAUAAAAUCAAUGUGCAACUGCAUUACUUUUGAUUUUUUCUAGGUUGGUACAUUUAGGAGAAUUUGUUUCCAUGAGAACAGAUUGCUGAGGAAAUAAUUCAGCUUACGUCUUACUGUACUGAUCAAUGAACUCUGGAUUUUGUUGCAGUUGUGCUGGGCUCCACCUUGAAUACAAUGCUGACAGACCAAGGUUUAAGUCUGCUCUCCUAAAAUCCAGAGCUGUGGUCCUUCAUUUUGCCCUGUUCGCUCCUUUGGGAUCUUGAGCUCUACCACCUCAGGAUCACUGCAGCGAAAUUGUCCUCAACUUCCAGACCCAUAACCAGUUCUUCCCUUUUUGUAAGUAUCAGGCCCAGCAGAGAACCUGGUCUCUUCCAAAUAAUUAGAGUUUGUCCUGGUUUUGGCUGGGAUAGAUUUAAAUUUCUUCCUAGUAGCUGGCAUAGUUCUGUGUUUUGGACUUAGGAUGCGAAUAAUGUUGAUAACACACUGAUGUUUUGCUUGUUGCUAAGCAGUGCUUACAGUAAGUCAAGGACAUUUCAGUCCCUCUUUCCGCCCUGCCAUGGAAGAGGCUAACUUUGCACAAGAAGCUGGAAGGGAACCCAGCCAUUGACAGCAGACCCAAACUGACCAAAGGGAUAUUCCAUACCAUAUGGUGUCAUGGUGAACAAAAAACUGGGCAAAGUUGGCUGAGGUGACAGUGGCUGCUGCUCAGGGACUGACUGAGCAUCUCUCGGUGGUGAGCACUUGCAUUGUGCAUCAUUUGUUUUGUAUAUUCUUUUAACAUCAUUAAUAGUAUUAUUAAUACUCUUUUUAGCCUGCCUUUUCUAUCCUGUUAAACUGUCUUUAUCUCAAUGUAUGAGUUUAACCUUUUUCUCAGUUCUCUCCCCCUUCCCACCACGGGGAGUGAGUGAACAGCUGUGUGGUGUUUAGCUGCCCGCCAGGUUAAACCACAACAGUUGUACAAUAGAUGUGUGGCACUAUGCAACAGAGUCUGCCCUCCACCUGUACGAGUAGUUGUAGCUGCAGCCUACCAUUGAAGCUACCGGUAGGCUAGAGCUCAUGUUUUCCAUUAAACUAAUGAUAGUUCUUUACCUUUGAAGUAAUUUAGCAGUAAUGAAAAAAAAACAGCAAUAAUUUGAAAGCUGGCUCAUGCUUUGUGACUGGGUGAACUGAGAUCUGGGAAGACUGGACUCUUGUUGAAGAUUCUGUGGAAGAGUAACUCCCUGAAAGGGACAGGUAAUAGGAAACAAUCAGCAAUCAUUUACCUGAAUGAGAUAACACAGAAAUGCAAUAAAUGGGAAAUAUUGGCUAUGUCUAUAUUAACAAGGAUUUGGUUUGAAAAGAAUGGAGCUAGAAAGUGAAAUAUGUAGUGGGCAUCGUGUUCACUUAAUGGUUUUAUGUGGAAAAACAUUGUCUGGGUUUCUGGUUGCAAUCUCCAGCUUUUUAAUUCUUGUUUCCCUGUGGUGCUAACCAAAGCAGCUUGAGCAUUAAAAUUUAAUCUGUCUUUACUUCUUCUUGGAAAAUUUAAAUUAAAUAUAUAAUUUAAACAUUUUAGUAGUUGUUUAUUGCACUAUCAUAGUGUACUUAUGCGUUUCAACUCAUUGAAGAAUGAUGGGCUGUUACAGAUGUUUUAAUGAAAGACUGUAUUAAAAAUACCAGAGUAAUGUAAAACAUAUUGCAAAUGAGUUCAAAAUUAAAGGCACUUCAUUUCCUUUAUUUGAUUCCUACAGUUUUGCCGGUGUUCAGACUAACGGCUGAUAGUAUGUGAUGGCAAUACAGAAAUCAAGCUGGUGUAUCAAGCAUGCUCACACACUAAAGAUUUACU